ACCAGGAGCUACUUAACGGACUAAACGAGUCAGGACCGAAGGAGCAUCUGCGCUGCCACCUCCACCAACUGCGCCGAACGUGGCCCCGCCCCCGACGACGACUUUAACCUCAGGGUGAACCUGUUAGGACACCGACUCCAGGGAAGACUGGUAACUGUUCCAACUCAUGAGUAAUGCAUCAUACUAUACUGCAGAGUUAUAGCCCUUCUUUCUACACUGAAUAUUAAAGACACGGCCCUGCUUUAUAAAACCUGCUGGAGGAGGGUUUGAUACCUGAGUGGCAGCAGAAAGCCAUAGCGUAUGAGGACUCCCAGCCCCCACAGGACGGUCAGCCGCAGGCUGAUAUAUUGGAAGUUAUUGUUGC